UUGCAAAAAAAGGGCCAAUGCGCUUUUUAACGAAUUGUAAGGAUCAGUUUAACGCGAAUUACGGUUACGAAAGGAUGCCAAUGCAUAGAACGUAAUAAACGUGUUUUUUGUUUAAAGUGUGUGUUGUUUAUUUUCUCAUACUUAAAAAGAAUUAAAAAAAAGAGGAAAGAAAAAUUUUUAAAAAUUAACAAAAAAAACUAAAUCAAAAAAAGAAAUAUUUAAAACCAUUUUUUUCCUAAAACAUAAUUUUAAUUUCCAAAAUUUUCAAAAUAAGUUUAAAUUCAAAUUGUGCUAAAUCAUAUCAAUAAAAGAAAAAUUCAAAUUCUCAAAGCAAUUCAAACGAUUUUGUUAAGGAAUUUGUAAAAGAAAACCUAAACUGACCUAUCUCAAGCCUGUAACGCUAAUUAAUCAUAAAAAACAUUAAAAACAACAACCAUUAAGCCAAAAGUAAAAUAAACUGUUAAAAUUAAUAAAAACAAAAAAAAAAUUAUAAGUUAACGCCUACAGGUAUGCUUUAGUUUAAAUCAAAUUAUUAACUAAAUGUGUUAUCUACAGCAAGGUUAAUUAAAUCAAUACGCCUUUUUUUUGGUUAAACACAUAUUUUGAGGCGACAUAAUGUGUUGAACAUUUUAGGUGCAAAUCAAUCAAGUGAAAUAGGUUAUAAUGGAAGCUUAAUUUGUCUAGCUAAAACGCCUAUUGUUGAAAAUAAAUUAAAAAAAAAACGAAAUAGAACAAGAAGAUUUAAAAAAAAGUAAAAAAUUAAUUUAAACUGGAGCAGACAA